rnacentral:rRNA from 1 species
AUGCAAGUCGAACGCGAAAGCCCCGCAAGGGGUGAGUAGAGUGGCAAACGGGUGAGUAACACGUGGGUGACCUGCCUCAGAGUGGGGGAUAACGUUCCGAAAGGAGCGCUAAUACCGCAUAACAUCCUGCGUUUGGAAACGCAGACAUCAAAGCCGGGGAUCGCAAGACCUGGCGCUCAGAGAGGGGCCCGCGGCCGAUUAGCUAGUUGGUGAGGUAACGGCUCACCAAGGCAACGAUCGGUAUCCGGCCUGAGAGGGCGGACGGACACACUGGGACUGAGACACGGCCCAGACUCCUACGGGAGGCAGCAGUGGGGAAUUGUUCGCAAUGGGCGCAAGCCUGACGACGCAACGCCGCGUGGAGGACGAAGAUCUUCGGGUCGUAAACUCCUUUCGAUCGGGAAGAACGUUUUCCGGAUGAAUACUCCGGAGAAGUGACGGUACCGAGAGAAGAAGCCCCGGCUAACUCCGUGCCAGCAGCCGCGGUAAUACGGGGGGGGCAAGCGUUGUUCGGAAUUACUGGGCGUAAAGGGCUUGUAGGCGGCCAACUAAGUCCGACGUGAAAUCCCCAGGCUCAACCUGG